rnacentral:rRNA from 1 species
UGGGGAAUAUUGCACAAUGGGCGCAAGCCUGAUGCAGCCAUGCCGCGUGUGUGAAGAAGGCCUUCGGGUUGUAAAGCACUUUCAGCGGGGAGGAAGGGUUCAGUGUUAAUAGCACUGUUCAUUGACGUUACUCGCAGAAGAAGCACCGGCUAACUCCGUGCCAGCAGCCGCGGUAAUACGGAGGGUGCAAGCGUUAAUCGGAAUUACUGGGCGUAAAGCGCACGCAGGCGGUUUGUUAAGUCAGAUGUGAAAUCCCCGCGCUUAACGUGGGAACUGCAUUUGAAACUGGCAAGCUAGAGUCUUGUAGAGGGGGGUAGAAUUCCAGGUGUAGCGGUGAAAUG